GACGAACGCUGGCGGCGUGCCUAAUACAUGCAAGUCGAGCGAACCAAUAGGAGCUUGCUCCUGUUGGUUAGCGGCGACGGGUGAGUAACACGUGGGCAACCUGCCUGUAAGACUGGGAUAACACCGGGAAACCGGUGCUAAUACCGGAUAAUCCUUUUCCUCUCAUGAGGAGAAGCUGAAAGUCGGUUUCGGCUGACACUUACAGAUGGGCCCGCGGCGCAUUAGCUAGUUGGUGAGGUAACGGCUCACCAAGGCGACGAUGCGUAGCCGACCUGAGAGGGUGAUCGGCCACACUGGGACUGAGACACGGCCCAGACUCCUACGGGAGGCAGCAGUAGGGAAUCUUCCACAAUGGACGAAAGUCUGAUGGAGCAACGCCGCGUGAGCGAUGAAGGCCUUCGGGUCGUAAAGCUCUGUUGUUAGGGAAGAACAAGUACCGGAGUAACUGCCGGUACCUUGACGGUACCUAACCAGAAAGCCACGGCUAACUACGUG
rnacentral:rRNA from 1 species